rnacentral:misc_RNA from 1 species
UACAGAAGCCCCAAGUGUUAUCCGGAAUUACUGGGCGUAAAGGGUCCGCAGGUGGUUGUGUUAGUCCUCUGUAAAAUCUCUCCGCUCAACGGGGAGUCGGCAGGGGAAACGGCACAACUCGAGGAUGUGAGAGGUUGAGGGAACUCACGGUGUAGGGGUGAAAUCCGUUGAUAUCGUGGGGAACACCAAAGGCGAAGGCACUCAACUGGCACAUUCCUGACACUCAUGGACGAAAGCUAGGGUAGCGAACGGG